rfam:TPA: Bos taurus chromosome 8, whole genome shotgun sequence.
UCCCUGGUGGCUCAGGGGUUAAAGCGUCUGCCUGCAAUGCAGGAGACUUGGGUUCCAUCCCUGGGUUGGGAA